UACGUAGGUGGCAAGCGUUGUCCGGAUUUACUGGGCGUAAAGAGCGCGCAGGCGGUCGUGCAAGUCGCGUGUGAAAGCCCCCGGCUCAACUGGGGAGGGUCAUUCGAAACUGGUCGACUCGAAGGCAGGAGAGGGUAGUGGAAUUCCCGGUGUAGUGGUGAAAUGUGUAGAUAUCGGGAGGAACACCAGUGGCGAAGGCGACUACCUGGCCUGUUCUUGACGCUGAGGCGCGAAAGCUAGGGGAGCAAACGGG
rnacentral:rRNA from 1 species